ACUUUUGUUCAUGCAUAUCCCUAGCUGCUCCUCAUCCACCAUGUCUGAUCUCAGAAGCUUGGAAGAGUCAUGUCUGGUUAGUACUUGGAUGAGAGACCACCAGGAAAUUCCACUGCUAUAGGCU
rnacentral:rRNA from 1 species